rnacentral:rRNA from 1 species
UACAGAGGUCUCAAGCGUUGUUCGGAUUCAUUGGGCGUAAAGGGUGCGUAGGCGGCGCGGUAAGUCGGGUGUGAAAUCUCGGAGCUUAACUCCGAAACUGCAUUCGAUACUGCCGUGCUUGAGGACUGGAGAGGAGACUGGAAUUUACGGUGUAGCGGUGAAAUGCGUAGAUAUCAGGAGGAACGCCGGAGGCGAAAGCGAGUGACUGGCGCGUUCCUGACGCUGAGGUGCGAAAGCUAGGGGAGCAAACAGG